GUGAGAUUAGUUUAUGAAUAUAAAAUACGGCCUUUCUACGUUCGUGAUUCUCUUUUUGAAUUUCACA
rnacentral:tRNA from 1 species